rnacentral:rRNA from 1 species
GACGAACGCUGGCGGCGUGCUUAAUACAUGCAAGUCGAACGAACAGGCCCUGCUUUUGUUGCGUGCUCGAGUGGCGAACGGGUGAGUAACACGUGAGUAAACCGCCCCUGACUGUGGGAUAACUCCUGGAAACUGGGGCUAAUACCGGAUAGGAGCUCCUGAUGCACGGUGGUGGUUGGAAAGUUACGGCCGUUGGGGAUGGACUCGCGGCUUAUCAGCCUGUUGGUGGGGUAGUGGCUUCCCAAGGCUUUGACGGGUAGCCGGCACGAGAGGGUGACCGGCCUCAAUGGUCCUGCGAUAGGGCGCAGAAUGCUACGGUACGCAGCGGGGGAGAAUAUUGCGCAAUGGCCGGACGCCUGAUACAGCAGUCCUGCGUGCGUGAUGCCGUCCUUCGGGGUGUAAACCGCUUUGUCCUGUGAUGAGGCGGGAUUGACGGUACUUGGUCAGGAAGCACCGGCUAACUACGUG